AAAAAAAAAAAAAAACACUCAAAAUUCUUAUUUUAGAGCAAGAACAAUGGCAAGUCUGGGCUGUAAAGUAAGAUUAGCAUCCAAUGUGGGCAUUCAACAUGGACACCUUUUAGCUGGCCAAGAGAGGAAAAAUACAAAUAAAAAUUAUUAAGAUUGAUUCUUGCUAAAACAGUUGAAGAACACCUAAACAGUGUUUCCACAUAAAUUAUAUUUAUUUUAUGGUAAUAUCAAUUUAUAGGUCUCCCCUUUUCCGGCUUUUUCUCUUGUUUCUACUAUCAAAUUUCUCAAAAGAAGAGAAGAAGGAUUUAAAAUUUGCCUUCUUUUUUCAUUGUUAUCAUUACUCCUUUCAUGUUCUCCUCUCUAAUCUUUGUGCAAUGAGGUCUACAGUAAAAUCACAGAAAAUAAAGAGUCCACUCGAUCAUAUUUAUAGGUAAAAUAUUUAUAGGUGUAAAUUAACUCAAAAAAAA
rnacentral:misc_RNA from 1 species